GGUUAUGUGUGUGUGUAUGUGUGUGUGUAUAUAUGUAUGUAUGUAUAUAUACACACACACAUACACACACACACACACACACACACAC
rnacentral:miRNA from 1 species